UGGCUCAGGGCGAACGCUGGCGGCGUGCUUAACACAUGCAAGUCGAACGGUGAAGCACUCUUCCUUUUGGUGGGUGUGGAUGAGUCGGCGAACGGGUGAGUAACACGUGAGUAACCUGCCCCCUUCUUCUGGAUAACCGCAUGAAAGUGUGGCUAAUACGGGAUAUUCUGUGCCUGCUGCAUGGUGGGUGUGGGAAAGAUGCGCCUUUGGGUGUUUUUGGUGGGGGAUGGGCUCGCGGCCUAUCAGCUUGUUGGUGGGGUGAUGGCCUACCAAGGCGGUGACGGGUAGCCGGCCUGAGAGGGUGGACGGUCACACUGGGACUGAGACACGGCCCAGACUCCUACGGGAGGCAGCAGUGGGGAAUAUUGCACAAUGGGCGCAAGCCUGAUGCAGCGACGCCGCGUGAGGGAUGGAGGCCUUCGGGUUGUAAACCUCUUUCGCCAGUGAAGCAGGCCUGUCCCUUGUGGUUGGGUUGACGGUAGCUGGAUAAGAAGCGCCGGCUAACUACGUGCCAGCAGCCGCGGUAAUACGUAGGGCGCGAGCGUUGUCCGGAAUUAUUGGGCGUAAAGAGCUCGUAGGCGGCUGGUCGCGUCUGUCGUGAAAUCCUCUGGCUUAACUGGGGGCUUGCGGUGGGUACGGGCCGGCUUGAGUGCGGUAGGGGAGACUGGAACUCCUGGUGUAGCGGUGGAAUGCGCAGAUAUCAGGAAGAACACCGGUGGCGAAGGCGGGUCUCUGGGCCGUUACUGACGCUGAGGAGCGAAAGCGUGGGGAGCGAACAGGAUUAGAUACCCUGGUAGUCCACGCCGUAAACGUUGGGCACUAGGUGUGGGGGGCCUUUUCCGGGUCUUCCGCGCCGUAGCUAACGCAUUAAGUGCCCCGCCUGGGGAGUACGGCCGCAAGGCUAAAACUCAAAGGAAUUGACGGGGGCCCGCACAAGCGGCGGAGCAUGUGGAUUAAUUCGAUGCAACGCGAAGAACCUUACCAAGGCUUGACAUGCGCCGGUCGGCUCCGGAGACGGGGUUUCCUCCUUGUGGGGCCGGUUCACAGGUGGUGCAUGGUUGUCGUCAGCUCGUGUCGUGAGAUGUUGGGUUAAGUCCCGCAACGAGCGCAACCCUUGUCCCGUGUUGCCAGCACGUUGUGGUGGGGACUCGCGGGAGACUGCCGGGGUCAACUCGGAGGAAGGUGGGGAUGACGUCAAAUCAUCAUGCCCCUUAUGUCUUGGGCUUCACGCAUGCUACAAUGGCCGGUACAGAGGGCUGCGAUACCGUGAGGUGGAGCGAAUCCCUUAAAGCCGGUCUCAGUUCGGAUCGGUGUCUGCAAACUCGACACCGUGAAGUUGGAGUCGCUAGUAAUCGCAGAUCAGCAACGCUGCGGUGAAUGACGUUUCUCGGGCCUUGUAC
rnacentral:rRNA from 1 species